AAUCUACCAUUUUGUCUUUCAAACGGAAGCGUGACGUUGUCCUGGUUAAUCCACGUUUUAAUUUAUUAAUACAUAUAUUUUGUAAUUAUGUAAAUCUGUUUUAUUAAUUUCAAUAAAAUUGAAUAAUUAUAUUUGACUUUUUAAAUAACUUUUAUAAAGCUGAGAACAAUGGCUUCAACGAAUUUUUUAACAGUGAAAACUCAUUUAUCUGAGUUUAAAUCAAAUUCAGAUAAAGACACUCUCAGUGAGGCAUCGGAAAGUGGGACAACCAAUUCGGUAACGUCUGCUGAGGAACUUCAGAAGUUUGCGUUGAUUCUUGGACUGAACAGCGCUGAAGAUGUAUAUCAAGAACGAUUUCGCGUUGAUAGACGUCGGCUAGAAGCAAUGCUCGCAGAUACUCUGGAGGAAUCCCAAACCGCGCAAGCGUUUUUUCAUCGCGU